CGUUGAGGUUUUUUGGAGCAUAUGGGAUGGUUGGGUGUUGUCAUUCAUGAUUGUCGUCGUUUGUCGGCUGUGCGGUUGCUGGCGGGUUCGGUGUUGCUGAUUUUUGGGCUUGGUUGUGGAUUGUUCUGAUGAAUGACCUUGAGGCUAAGUCUAAUCCCGUCAAAAAACAACCUACCAGGCACCAGGAAAAUAUCUUAAUCAAGAGAGUUAAGAGAUGGAUGGACCGAAGCAGGUAUACAAUUAUAAGAGAGGAUAAGACAAAGAAAAUGAUGAUAUUGGAGAGAAGUAAAUACAAUUCUUUUCUUGAGAAUUACAUCAAAGACACUAAACCACCCCUGUUAAAGGAAGCCCCAACCAUGAAAUUAGCAGCACAGCUCAAGGCUUUAUUGAAAUGCAAAGGUUUUCCAGCAUUUUGGAAGCAUAACAAGAUAACAGCACCAGCUUGUCCAAAUAAAAUACACAAAAACCCUAUAUAUCAGCCAGACCUAUUAUAGAAAAAAGAGAUUUGCCAACUUUUAACUUCGAAAAAAUGCUAGUGAAGUGGUGCUCCUCCAUACUAGUCCAGAAUGAACACUCCAUCAAUGCAUGUACCAAAGCACUGAGCAGGAUUCGAGAUACAGAAUGGCAUGUUAAUAACCUUAUAGUUACAUAUGACUUUGAAAGUUUAUACUCUUCACUAGAAAUAGAAGCAACAUGCCUUGCCUUUUAUAAAUUUCUGCUGCUUAACACACCACAAGCCCAUAGCCUAGCACCUAUACUAAGAGAUUUUGUGGAUAUAAUCUGCCAUAGAUCGUCCUUCACUUAGAAAGGUAAAUAUUACAAGCAAAACAUAGGCGUUCCAAUAGGCAGCCACUAGCUGGACCAUUUGCCAAGAUAUUACUAAGACAAGUAGAAUCAAGAGUAUUACAGGACUACAAGCAAGAUCUGAGGUUAUAUGUGCGAUACAUCAACAACAUUUUAACUGUUUGGGACAAUGAAGAUAUGAAAGAGACUUUCCAAUCAGCUUUAACACUCCCAAAAUAUGGCCUUAGUUUAAAAAAGAACAAGAAAGUUAUAAUGAUGCUCAUAUUUAGAUAUAACCCUUAGGAUUGAGCACGCUAAUCUGAAGACAACAGUGUACAGAAACAUGCUAUUCUGUAUCUCCCAUGCACCAGCAAGUGCUCAUCCCUAGAUGGUCCCCAGACCUGUCAUCCUAUAAAAGGGCUGCGUUCAGGUCAUUCUUUAAAAAAGUCUUAAUAUACUGCAUGAAACCCCAAGACCUGAGUGUGGAGAUCGAUUACAUAUAUAACACUGGCUAUUGUCAUGGAUACUCGAGGUCAUUCAUCAGAGCAAUCCAUAGCCAAGUCCAAGGGUCGGUGGCGCCGGGCCCGCUGGCGGCCGCACGGCCGAUGAC
rnacentral:lncRNA from 1 species